UACAUCGGAACAUGUCCUGUAGUGGGGGAUAGCCCGGCGAAAGCCGGAUUAAUACCGCAUACGAUCUGAGGAUGAAAGCGGGGGACCUUCGGGCCUCGCGCUAUAGGGUUGGCCGAUGGCUGAUUAGCUAGUUGGUGGGGUAAAGGCCUACCAAGGCGACGAUCAGUAGCUGGUCUGAGAGGACGACCAGCCACACUGGGACUGAGACACGGCCCAGACUCCUACGGGAGGCAGCAGUGGGGAAUUUUGGACAAUGGGCGCAAGCCUGAUCCAGCAAUGCCGCGUGUGUGAAGAAGGCCUUCGGGUUGUAAAGCACUU
rnacentral:rRNA from 1 species